rnacentral:rRNA from 1 species
GGGGUGAGGCGAAGCUGACGGACACGCCGCGUGAGUGAUGAAGGUUUUCGGAUCGUAAAGCUCUGUUGCCAGGGAAGAACGUCCGGUAGAGUAACUGCUAUCGGAGUGACGGUACCUGAGAAGAAAGCCCCGGCUAACUACGUGCCAGCAGCCGCGGUAAUACGUAGGGGGCAAGCGUUGUCCGGAAUUAUUGGGCGUAAAGCGCGCGCAGGCGGCCAUUUAAGUCUGGUGUUUAAACCUUGGGCUCAACCUGAGGUCGCACUGGAAACUGGGUGGCUUGAGUACAGAAGAGGAAAGUGGAAUUCCACGUGUAGCGGUGAAAUGCGUAGAUAUGUGGAGGAACACCAGUGGCGAAGGCGACUUUCUGGGCUGUAACUGACGCUGAGGCGCGAAAGCGUGGGGAGCAAACAGGAUUAGAUACCCUGGUAGUCCACGCCGUAAACGAUGAGUGCUAGGUGUUAGGGGUUUCGAUACCCUUGGUGCCGAAGUUAACACAGUAAGCACUCCGCCUGGGGAGUACGGUCGCAAGACUGAAACUCAAG